rnacentral:lncRNA from 14 species
CUCCCAGCAGUCUCCCUUGUGCCCUGGUCAGUGGGAGUUCCCAUAGCAGUCGCGGCAGGAGCAUUCUGUGUCAGGACUGGAUCUCCAGGGUGGUGAUGAGGGCUGAAAGGGGAGGACGGCCCUGGCUGAAGAGUUUCCACAUGUUUGCCCUGUUGCCUCUCUGCUGGAAAAGUGAAAACUCAUGCUGAUGAGUGCAGGAUCCAGAAUUGUUGAAUUUACACCUCAGAGCUCAUCUACAGCUCCACCCUGACCUUCAUUAAUAGCACCAGAUCAGAUCAAAUAGCCAAAGUCAAUCUGCUGGGCUGUUCUAAACAACAAGGAGAGAAGGUGAUGCCUGACCACCUUUACUGCAGGAUGCUUCAGCACCUGACAAAGGAGCAACGAGAUUGUCAAGAUCAUAUCUGAAGAAGCAGACUUGUAUUUUGUUCAGCACUGUGUUCACUGGACCAUUUUCCUGACAUUUCCACGUACAACAGAACUGCCAACUAAUGAAUAAAUAGUCUUUUUCCACCA